rnacentral:rRNA from 1 species
UACGGAGGAUCCAAGCGUUAUCCGGAAUCAUUGGGCUUAAAGGGUCCGUAGGCGGUCUAAUAAGUCAGUGGUGAAAGCCCAUCGCUCAACGAUGGAACGGCCAUUGAUACUGUUAGACUUGAAUUAUUGGGAAGUAACUAGAAUAUGUAGUGUAGCGGUGAAAUGCUUAGAUAUUACAUGGAAUACCAAUUGCGAAGGCAGGUUACUAUCAAUAUAUUGACGCUGAUGGACGAAAGCGUGGGGAGCGAACAGG